rnacentral:rRNA from 1 species
CCUACGGGUGGCUGCAGUGAGGAAUAUUGGUCAAUGGGCGCGAGCCUGAACCAGCCAAGUAGCGUGAAGGAUGACUGCCCUACGGGUCGUAAACUUCUUUUAUAAAGGAAUAAAGUGAGGCACGUGUGCCUUGUUGUAUGUACUUUAUGAAUAAGGAUCGGCUAACUCCGUGCCAGCAGCCGCGGUAAUACGGAGGAUCCGAGCGUUAUCCGGAUUUAUUGGGUUUAAAGGGUGCGUAGAUGGGUUGUUAAGUCAGUUGUGAAAGUUUGCGGCUCAACCUUAAAAGUGCAAUUGAUACUGGCAGCCUUGAGUACAGUUGAGGUAGGCGGAAUUCGUGGUGUAGCGGUGAAAUGCUUAGAUAUCACGCAGAACUCCGAUUGCGAAGGCAGCUUACUAAACUGCCACUGACAUUGAGGCUCGAAAGUGUGGGUAUCAAACAGGAUUAGAUACCCUGGUAGUC